rnacentral:rRNA from 1 species
UGCAAGUCGAACGGAAUCUUUCGGGAUUUAGUGGCGGACGGGUGAGUAACGCGUGAGAAUCUGCCUUCAGGUUCGGGACAACAGCUGGAAACGGCUGCUAAUACCGGAUGUGCCGAGAGGUGAAAGCUUUAGUGCCUGGAGAUGAGCUCGCGUCUGAUUAGCUAGUAGGAGUGGUAACGGCACCCCUAGGCGACGAUCAGUAGCUGGUCUGAGAGGAUGAUCAGCCACACUGGGACUGAGACACGGCCCAGACUCCUACGGGAGGCAGCAGUGGGGAAUUUUCCGCAAUGGGCGCAAGCCUGACGGAGCAAGACCGCGUGAGGGAAGAAGGUCUGUGGAUUGUAAACCUCUUUUGACAGGGAAGAAGACAGUGACGGUACCUGUCGAAUCAGCCUCGGCUAACUCCGUGCCAGCAGCCGCGGUAAUACGUAGGGGGCGAGCGUUGUCCGAAGUUACUGGGCGUAAAGCGCGCGUAGGCGGCCAUUUAAGUUCGGGGUGAAAGGUUCAACGCUCAACGUGAACAGUGCCUUGAAUACUGGGUGGCUUGAGUUCGGGAGAGGGCAGUGGAAUUCCUGGUGUAGCGGUGAAAUGCGUAGAUAUCAGGAGGAACACCGAUGGCGAAGGCAGCUGCCUGGCCUAGAACUGACGCUGAGGUGCGAAAGCGUGGGGAGCGAACAGGAUUAGAUACCCUGGUAGUCCACGCCGUAAACGAUGAGUGCUAGGUGUUCGGGGUAUCGACCCCCCGGGUGCCGCCGCUAACGCAGUAAGCACUCC